rnacentral:rRNA from 1 species
UACGGGGGGGGGCAAGCGUUGUUCGGAAUUACUGGGCGUAAAGGGCUCGUAGGCGGCCAACUAAGUCCGACGUGAAAUCCCCAGGCUUAACCUGGGAACUGCGUCGGAUACUGGAUGGCUUGAAUUCGGGAGAGGGAUGCAGAAUUCCAGGUGUAGCGGUGAAAUGCGUAGAUAUCAGUCGGAACACCGGUGGCGAAGGCGGCUUCUUGGGCCGUUACUGACGCUGAGGCGCGAAAGCCAGGGGAGCGAACGGG